rnacentral:rRNA from 1 species
UUAAGUUAUUAAGGGCGCACGGUGGAUGCCUUGGCACUAGAAGCCGAUGAAGGACGUUACUAACGACGAUAUGCUUUGGGGAGCUGUAAGUAAGCUUUGAUCCAGAGAUUUCCGAAUGGGGAAACCCAGCAUGAGUUAUGUCAUGUUAUCGAUAUGUGAAUACAUAGCAUAUCAGAAGGCACACCCGGAGAACUGAAACAUCUUAGUACCCGGAGGAAGAGAAAGAAAAUUCGAUUCCCUUAGUAGCGGCGAGCGAAACGGGAAGAGCCCAAACCAACAAGCUUGCUUGUUGGGGUUGUAGGACACUCUAUACGGAGUUACAAAGGACGACAUUAGACGAAUCAUCUGGAAAGAUGAAUCAAAGAAGGUAAUAAUCCUGUAGUCGAAAAUGUUGUCUCUCUUGAGUGGAUCCUGAGUACGACGGAGCACGUGAAAUUCCGUCGGAAUCUGGGAGGACCAUCUCCUAAGGCUAAAUACUCUCUAGUGACCGAUAGUGAACCAGUACCGUGAGGGAAAGGUGAAAAGCACCCCGGAAGGGGAGUGAAAUAGAACCUGAAACCGUGUGCUUACAAGUAGUCAGAGCCCGUUAAUGGGUGAUGGCGUGCCUUUUGUAGAAUGAACCGGCGAGUUACGAUUUGAUGCAAGGUUAAGCAGUAAAUGUGGAGCCGUAGCGAAAGCGAGUCUGAAUAGGGCGUUUAGUAUUUGGUCGUAGACCCGAAACCAGGUGAUCUACCCUUGGUCAGGUUGAAGUUCAGGUAACACUGAAUGGAGGACCGAACCGACUUACGUUGAAAAGUGAGCGGAUGAACUGAGGGUAGCGGAGAAAUUCCAAUCGAACCUGGAGAUAGCUGGUUCUCUCCGAAAUAGCUUUAGGGCUAGCCUCAAGUGAUGAUUAUUGGAGGUAGAGCACUGUUUGGACGAGGGGCCCCUCUCGGGUUACCGAAUUCAGACAAACUCCGAAUGCCAAUUAAUUUAACUUGGGAGUCAGAACAUGGGUGAUAAGGUCCGUGUUCGAAAGGGAAACAGCCCAGACCACCAGCUAAGGUCCCAAAAUAUAUGUUAAGUGGAAAAGGAUGUGGCGUUGCCCAGACAACUAGGAUGUUGGCUUAGAAGCAGCCAUCAUUUAAAGAGUGCGUAAUAGCUCACUAGUCGAGUGACACUGCGCCGAAAAUGUACCGGGGCUAAACAUAUUACCGAAGCUGUGGAUUGUCCUUUGGACAAUGGUAGGAGAGCGUUCUAAGGGCGUUGAAGCAUGAUCGUAAGGACAUGUGGAGCGCUUAGAAGUGAGAAUGCCGGUGUGAGUAGCGAAAGACGGGUGAGAAUCCCGUCCACCGAUUGACUAAGGUUUCCAGAGGAAGGCUCGUCCGCUCUGGGUUAGUCGGGUCCUAAGCUGAGGCCGACAGGCGUAGGCGAUGGAUAACAGGUUGAUAUUCCUGUACCACCUAUAAUCGUUUUAAUCGAUGGGGGGGACGCAGUAGGAUAGGCGAAGCGUGCGAUUGGAUUGCACGUCUAAGCAGUAAGGCUGAGUAUUAGGCAAAUCCGGUACUCGUUAAGGCUGAGCUGUGAUGGGGAGAAGACAUUGAGUCUUCGAGUCGUUGAUUUCACACUGCCGAGAAAAGCCUCUAGAUAGAAAAUAGGUGCCCGUACCGCAAACCGACACAGGUAGUCAAGAUGAGAAUUCUAAGGUGAGCGAGCGAACUCUCGUUAAGGAACUCGGCAAAAUGACCCCGUAACUUCGGGAGAAGGGGUGCUCUUUAGGGUUAACGCCCAGAAGAGCCGCAGUGAAUAGGCCCAAGCGACUGUUUAUCAAAACACAGGUCUCUGCUAAACCGUAAGGUGAUGUAUAGGGGCUGACGCCUGCCCGGUGCUGGAAGGUUAAGAGGAGUGGUUAGCUUCUGCGAAGCUACGAAUCGAAGCCCCAGUAAACGGCGGCCGUAACUAUAACGGUCCUAAGGUAGCGAAAUUCCUUGUCGGGUAAGUUCCGACCCGCACGAAAGGCGUAACGAUUUGGGCACUGUCUCAACGAGAGACUCGGUGAAAUCAUAGUACCUGUGAAGAUGCAGGUUACCCGCGACAGGACGGAAAGACCCCGUGGAGCUUUACUGUAGCCUGAUAUUGAAAUUCGGCACAGCUUGUACAGGAUAGGUAGGAGCCUUUGAAACGUGAGCGCUAGCUUACGUGGAGGCGCUGGUGGGAUACUACCCUAGCUGUGUUGGCUUUCUAACCCGCACCACUUAUCGUGGUGGGAGACAGUGUCAAGCGGGCAGUUUGACUGGGGCGGUCGCCUCCUAAAAGGUAACGGAGGCGCUCAAAGGUUCCCUCAGAAUGGUUGGAAAUCAUUCAUAGAGUGUAAAGGCAUAAGGGAGCUUGACUGCGAGACCUACAAGUCGAGCAGGGUCGAAAGACGGACUUAGUGAUCCGGUGGUUCCGCAUGGAAGGGCCAUCGCUCAACGGAUAAAAGCUACCCCGGGGAUAACAGGCUUAUCUCCCCCAAGAGUUCACAUCGACGGGGAGGUUUGGCACCUCGAUGUCGGCUCAUCGCAUCCUGGGGCUGUAGUCGGUCCCAAGGGUUGGGCUGUUCGCCCAUUAAAGCGGUACGCGAGCUGGGUUCAGAACGUCGUGAGACAGUUCGGUCCCUAUCCGUCGUGGGCGUAGGAAAUUUGAGAGGAGCUGUCCUUAGUACGAGAGGACCGGGAUGGACAUACCUCUGGUGUACCAGUUGUCGUGCCAACGGCAUAGCUGGGUAGCUAUGUGUGGACGGGAUAAGUGCUGAAAGCAUCUAAGCAUGAAGCCCCCCUCAAGAUGAGAUUUCCCAACUUCGGUUAUAAGAUCCCUCAAAGAUGAUGAGGUUAAUAGGUUCGAGGUGGAAGCAUGGUGACAUGUGGAGCUGACGAAUACUAAUCGAUCGAAGACUUAAUCAA